rnacentral:sRNA from 1 species
CACUCAGCAUAAUCAUGCUGAUAUUUAUCCAAGUCUAAAAUCCUUUGAUAUUCAUCCGUGAUACACAUCCAUGUUGCAUGUGUCAAAAGCCCAUUCCCCUGUAUGGAUCUAACACAGCCUGUUUAUCCAUUCACAUGUGGAUGGAUUUCUGGGUCAUUUCCAGUUUUCGCUCAUACAAAUAAAGCCGCUGUGAACCUUUGUGUACAAA